AGAGCGAACGCUGGCGGCAGGCCUAACACAUGCAAGUCGAGCGCCCCGCAAGGGGAGCGGCAGACGGGAGAGUAACACGUGGGAACGUACCCUUUGGUUCGGAACAACACAGGGAAACUUGUGCUAAUACCGGAUAAGCCCUUACGGGGAAAGAUUUAUUGCCAAAGGAUCGGCCCGCGUCUGAUUAGCUUGUUGGUGAGGUAACGGCUCACCAAGGCUACGAUCAGUAGCUGGUCUGAGAGGAUGAUCAGCCUCACUGGGACUGAGACACGGCCCAGACUCCUACGGGAGGCAGCAGUGGGGAAUAUGGACAAUGGGCGCAAGCCUGAUCCAGCCAUGCCGCGUGGAUGAUGAAGGCCCUAGGGUUGUAAAGUCCUUUCGACGGGGAAGAUAAUGACGGUACCCGUAGAAGAAGCCCCGGACUAACUCGUGCCAGCAGCCGC
rnacentral:rRNA from 1 species